GCCUCAUUUAUAUGUAUAUGAGGUGAGACCUGCUCAAUGGCUACAAAUAAAAAAUAAUAGUAGUUAAAUAGCCGCGGUAACUCUGACCGUGAUAAAGUAGCAUAAUCACUCGUCAUUUAAUUGAUGACUGGAAUGAAUGGUUACACGAAUCCUUAACUGUCUCAGUAGUAAAGUUAUUGAAAUUGAAAUAAUAGUGAAGAUGCUAUUUAUGAGUUGUAAGACGAAAAGACCCUAUCGAGCUUUACUAAAUACCUAGAAUUUAAAUUUGCACAAUAAUUUACUAAUAAAUCUUCUAGGUUAAUUAGUUUGGUUGGGGCGACCACCUCUAAAACAGUAUCAGAGGAAAUCAAAAGGUAAAUAAAAGUAUAAGUUGCCUUACUGUAUACACACCUGUUAAUCAGUUACUAAAAAGUAGGAUAUAAUGACCCGUUAAGCAUAUCUUAAAACUUAACGACUAUGAAAAAAGUUACCGUAGGGAUAACAGGGUAAUAUUUUUAGAGAGUCCAUAUCGAUAAAAAUGUUUGCCACCUCGAUGUUGAAUUGUGAUAUCCUAAAGGUGUAGCAGCUUUUAAGGGUUG
rnacentral:rRNA from 1 species